GAUGAACGCUGGCGGCGUGCCUAAUACAUGCAAGUCGAGCGAACAGACGAGGAGCUUGCUCCUCUGACGUUAGCGGCGGACGGGUGAGUAACACGUGGAUAACCUACCUAUAAGACUGGGAUAACUUCGGGAAACCGGAGCUAAUACCGGAUAAUAUAUUGAACCGCAUGGUUCAAUAGUGAAAGACGGUUUUGCUGUCACUUAUAGAUGGAUCCGCGCCGCAUUAGCUAGUUGGUAAGGUAACGGCUUACCAAGGCGACGAUGCGUAGCCGACCUGAGAGGGUGAUCGGCCACACUGGAACUGAGACACGGUCCAGACUCCUACGGGCGGCAGCAGUAGGGAAUCUUCCGCAAUGGGCGAAAGCCUGACGGAGCAACGCCGCGUGAGUGAUGAAGGUCUUCGGAUCGUAAAACUCUGUUAUUAGGGAAGAACAAAUGUGUAAGUAACUAUGCACGUCUUGACGGUACCUAAUCAGAAAGCCACGGCUAACUACGUG
rnacentral:rRNA from 1 species